rnacentral:tRNA from 1 species
GCCUGGUUGGCUUAGUCAGUAAAGCAUGGAACACCUGAUUCUGCAGUUAUGAGUUCAAGCCCCAUACUGGGUG